rnacentral:rRNA from 1 species
AACGAACGCUGGCGGCAGGCCUAACACAUGCAAGUCGAUCGCCCUUUCGGGGGAGCGGCGGACGGGUGAGUAACGCGUGGGAAUAUGCCCUUCUCUACGGAAUAGCCUCGUGAAACUGAGAGUAAUACCGUAUACGCCCUGUGGGGGAAAGAUUUAUCGGGGAAGGAUUAGCCCCCGUUGGAUUAGGUAGUUGGUGGGGUAAUUGCCUACCAAGCCGACGAUCCAUAGCUGGUUUGAGAGGAUGAUCAGCCACACUGGGACUGAGCCACGGCCCAGACUACUACAGGAGGCAGCAGUGGGGAAUCUUACACAAUGGGGGCAACCCUGAUCUAGCCAUGCCGCGUGAGUGAUGAAGGCCUUAGGGUUGUAAAGCUCUUUCAGCUGGGAAGAUAAUGACGGUACCAGCAGAAGAAGCCCCGGCUAACUCCGUG